GUGCACGAUAAAUAGAGUCACAAGAAAAUUAGAUCUUCAUCUCCUCCAUAUUCACAUUUCACAGGCUAACAUAAAGAGUCUCCGCUAUUGUGCUUGUAAGAUCCAGAAAAAGUAGGCUUAGCAAUGCAUUUCACCUCAACUAGAAAUUUGAAUAGAACAAAAUAAAUGGUGAUUAAGAGGGAAAAAAGUGAAAUCUCAUCUUUAACCCUGCCCAUCAUCAUCUCUACCUCUCGCCUCUUCUGCAGCUGCCAUCAAUUCGUCAAAUUUAUCCGUCUUCCCCAGCGCUACCUCAAG
rnacentral:lncRNA from 1 species